GACGAACGCUGGCGGCGUGCUUAACACAUGCCAGUCGAACGAAGAGCGAUGGAAGCUUGCUUCUAUCAAUCUUAGUGGCGAACGGGUGAGUAACGCGUAAUCAACCUGCCCUUCAGAGGGGGACAACAGUUGGAAACGACUGCUAAUACCGCAUACGAUCUAAUCUCGGCAUCGAGGAUAGAUGAAAGGUGGCCUCUACAUGUAAGCUAUCACUGAAGGAGGGGAUUGCGUCUGAUUAGCUAGUUGGAGGGGUAACGGCCCACCAAGGCGAUGAUCAGUAGCCGGUCUGAGAGGAUGAACGGCCACAUUGGGACUGAGACACGGCCCAGACUCCUACGGGAGGCAGCAGUGGGGAACCUUCCGCAAUGGACGAAAGUCUGACGGAGCAACGCCGCGUGAGUGAUGACGGCCUUCGGGUUGUAAAGCUCUGUUAAUCGGGACGAAAGGCCUUCUUGCGAAUAGUGAGAAGGAUUGACGGUACCGGAAUAGAAAGCCACGGCUAACUACGUG
rnacentral:rRNA from 1 species